AUGCAUUUAGUUUCGACCUAAAAAUUUGAUUUAUAUCCUUACUAAUUCUAAUUAUAGGAUUAAUUCAUGAAUGAAAUCA
rnacentral:tRNA from 1 species